UCUCCGUUGGUGAACCAGCGGAGGGAUCAUUACCGAUUUAUUCUACUCCCAAACCCCUUUGAACUUAUACCUUUACUGUUGCUUCGGCGGGUUAACGCCCCGAAACGCCCGCUAGGGCCGCCGGGACCAGCCGCCAGCCCGGGGACCCACACUCUGUUUUCUUUUUUAUAGCCUGUCAGAGGUGACUCAUAAACAAAUGUAUCAAAACUUUCAACAACGGAUCUCUUGGUUCUG
rnacentral:misc_RNA from 1 species